CCUGAUGCAGCAACGCCGCGUGAGGGACGAAGGCCUUCGGGUUGUAAACCUCUUUUAGUAGGGAAGAAGCGAAAGUGACGGUACCUGCAGAAAAAGCACCGGCUAACUACGUGCCAGCAGCCGCGGUAAUACGUAGGGUGCAAGCGUUGUCCGGAAUUAUUGGGCGUAAAGAGCUCGUAGGCGGUUUGUCGCGUCUGCUGUGAAAACUGGAGGCUCAACCUCCAGCCUGCAGUGGGUACGGGCAGACUAGAGUGCGGUAGGGGAGAUUGGAAUUCCUGGUGUAGCGGUGGAAUGCGCAGAUAUCAGGAGGAACACCGAUGGCGAAGGCAGAUCUCUGGGCCGUAACUGACGCUGAGGAGCGAAAGCAUGGGGAGCGAACAGGAUUAGAUACCCUGGUAGUCCAUGCCGUAAACGUUGGGAACUAGAUGUAGGGGCCAUUCCACGGUUUCUGUGUCGCAGCUAACGCAUUAAGUUCCCCGCCUGGGGAGUACGGCCGCAAGGCUAAAACUCAAAGGAAUUGACGGGGGCCCGCACAAGCGGCGGAGCAUGCGGAUUAAUUCGAUGCAACGCGAAGAACCUUACCAAGGCUUGACAUAUACCGGAAACGGCUAGAGAUAGUCGCCCCGCAAGGU
rnacentral:rRNA from 2 species